CAGUCUUGCAGCUCUCUUGGAGUUUGCCCUCUCUGCAAUACAGAGCUAAGCAACUGAAUUUGAGAGGUGCUGGUGAGGAGAUAAAAGGCAUUCUGCUCCAUUUCUGUGGAGAAGAGUCACUUAAACUGCUUCUUUCUAACAAGAGUGCAAAUACUGGAUCCUGUCUUUUAUCCUAGAAUUCUCAGAAAUUCAUCUCAUCUGUUCAAGAUAUACAUUCCCUUAACAGCUACAACUUUCAGUCCAAACAGAGCCUGACCUGGGACUGCUGCAGUGAGUAAUAUUCUUGUGGCAUGCGUAAGAAGAUUUCUGCUGUAUCAUUGCACUGUUUCAUGAUGCAGUGCACACACAGAGGAGGACCCGACUGCAGAGAGAUCGCUGCCACGUGCCGGAUCUACAGAUGCAUUGGGAACGCCUGCCUGUGUAAACACAGAUGCUAUUUUGCAAAAGUUUCUAGAUAGCAGCUGAAUGAUGACUCAGACAUUUUUUGUCACUGCAGAGCUGCACAUGGUCUUGUGUACAGCAUCGUGAAAGACAUUAGAGCAAACGUACCAAUGAAGAGCUCUUUACUCUGGAAUUUUUGUGCACCCCACAUUUUUGCAAUAAUGCUCUCUGCAAUAAGCCAUAAUGUUCUUCUGUGACACGACAUGCAUAGCAAUAAAAAGAGAUAACUGGCAUCCUUAUGUUUAAGU
rnacentral:lncRNA from 1 species